AGUGAACGCUGGCGGUAGGCCUAACACAUGCAAGUCGAACGGCAGCACAGUAAGAGCUUGCUCUUACGGGUGGCGAGUGGCGGACGGGUGAGGAAUACAUCGGAAUCUACUUUUUCGUGGGGGAUAACGUAGGGAAACUUACGCCAAUACCGCAUACGACCUACGGGUGAAAGCAGGGGACCUUCGGACCUCGCGCGAUUGAAUGUGCGGAUGUCGGAUUAGCUAGUUGGCGGGGUAAAGGCCCACCAAGGCGACGAUCCGUAGCUGGUCUGAGAGGAUGAUCAGCCACACUGGAACUGAGACACGGUCCAGACUCCUACGGGAGGCAGCAGUGGGGAAUAUUGGACAAUGGGCGCAAGCCUGAUCCAGCCAUACCGCGUGGGUGAAGAAGGCCUUCGGAUUGUAAAGCCCUUUUGUUGGGAAAGAAGAGCAGCAGGUUAAUACCCCGCUGUUCUGACGGUACCCAAAGAAUAAGCACCGGCUAACUUCGUG
rnacentral:rRNA from 1 species